CGAGGCAAGUCUCUCGAGCGCCUUCCUCUUUGCAGCCGAGCUGCCCGUUGGCCUCCCUGAGGCGACGCUGGGCGGCCCGUUGGCCUCUCCGCCCGCCUCCGGGUCCCGUCGGGUCAAGGGGCCGCGUGGCCGCCCUUCACACGCACCCGACACGCCCAGCUGACCUUUCCAACACCUGAGCCCACCUGAAUCUUUUAAACACGUUAACAUGUCUGGGCCCCAUCCAUAUAGAUGCAGACAAUAUUCAACCUUCUCUCCAUCAGACAAUAGCCUAGACUGUUGUAUGUGUGCAGAUGGAUAAAUAGGGAUAUACUUAAGUGUCCACUGCCAUCCAGGUUGAAACCAGGCAAUAGUGGGUGUUCCUGUUAGCAUCAGGAGGUUGAAACUGGCAAGAGCCCUGAGAUUAUGGCUUCAAAAGGCAGCAGCUGAAUUUCAAUGACUUUUCCAAUGGGGCUGUUCAUCCCUCUCUGCAUUUGUUCACAAGAUAAGUAAUGCCAGCGAAUCAGUUUCUAUGAGCUGUGGGAUGAAGAGUCAAAGUCUGGGUUGUUGUCCUGCCCACCACUGACAUGCGACCCCCAGAAGGAAUGUGGUCCUCAGGCUGAAAAUAUUUCAGUGGAACCAUAGUAGCCCCAACUCAGUGGGAGUCAAUGACAACUAAAGGCCCCUUGAAAUGAAGAAGUGCCUGACUGAAAAGUGGCGCUAAUAGCUACAGUAGAAUUGUUUAAGGCUCAGUCUGAGAACGACCGUUGCUGAAGCAAUAUUUGAGCUCUGCUCUUCCAAAUUCUCCAGCCUGAGCCCUGCAUAGAGUUCUCCAGGGUGCUACUGAAACUUGCCUUGCCUCUGUACUCCUAAGGCUGCUCCUCAAAUCAGAAUAUUAUAUUGCAGAGAAAUAAAAAGAAAACUUUAUGGCUUCUAGAAAGACUUGCCUUUCUCAUUUCUGCUGUUUGUUCCCUGGUUAUUCCUCAUUUGGACGACUAGGAGCUUGUCCACCCCAGAGUUCACUAUGCGUUCAUUGUGUCUUUGCAUUUCCAUUUAAUUUGCAUAGUCCACAAAUCAUUAUCUUCAAACAACACCAAUAUUGUUGAUUCUCCACUGUGAAUUUGGGGUUACCUAAUAUGGAAAUUAUCCAAUAAAUUGAGGGAAAUUGAUCUUUAAACUUCUGAACUUGAGGGUUACAGAUUAUUUGGGGGGGUUUUGUGGGGUGUGUGUGUGGAUGGCUUAGUCAUCACUUUCUGCCACUACUUCCUCAAUGCUUUCAUUGCUUUUCUGGCUGUGCUUGUAACAAUAUGCAGUGCUCUCCUAAAUGCAGGAGCUCACCCUUGAUCCCUCAGAUUUGCAUGAAAUCAGAAAAAUGCAAAGCAAACCACUCCACGUGAUUGUGCUGAGAAUUUACAAUUGCCUGACUCUGUGCUUUUGUGUACUUCCUGGGCAGGGUUUUAUUUUUUA